UUUUCAAGUUCUUUACUACUUUGCUGUGCAUGAAGAGCUCCUUUUGACAGCCCAAUCUGCUCCAACUCUAUCGCGACUUCUCUCAUUGUUGGCCGUUUCCUUCCAUUCAAGUUCAAGCAUCUUCUUGCAAGGUUAGCGACUGCGACAACUUCUUCUUCACGGUCCUGCCCCAUAAGUCGUUCCUCAAGAAUAUCAAAUAUCUUGUUCUCUUCCAUCAAAAGAAUAAAAUGAGUGGCUAAACUUCUCCUGUCUUCCGGCCUUUCAUAAGAAAUUGGUUUUUGCCCACUCAAGAGCUCUGCAAGAACAACACCAAAACUGUAGACGUCACUUUUUCCGGUAAACUGGCUAGACUGGAAGUACUCUGGGUCCAAGUAUCCAAAAGUGCCUUGAACAUGAGUGGUUAGAUGAGUUUGAUCAAUGGCGAUCGAUCUUGAAGUUCCGAAAUCUGAUACUUUUGCUCUGAACUUCUCAUCUAACAUUAUAUUUGUAGACUUGAUAUCACGGUAGUAAACCGGAAUGGAUGCUGCGGAAUGAAGAUAAGAAAGUGCCCUAGCAACUUCAGUAGCAAUCCUUAGUCGCAUUUCCCAUGAAAACUCGAACUCCUCCUUCUGGUCAUGAAUACACUCAAAGAGAUUUCCAUUGGGAAUGAAUUCAUAGACUAGCAGAGGAACCUCCGUCUCUAAACAACAACCUAGCAACUUGACCACAUUUCUGUGAUUGACUUGUGAAAGGAUGACGACCUCAUUGAUAAAUUCUUCCAACUUUUCUUCAUCCACCAUUUUGGAUUUUUUAACGGCAACGAUCAUUCCAUCUGCUAGCAUUCCUUUAUAAACAGUUCCUUGGCCACCUUGACCAAGUAUUCUAUUAUCAUUAAAACGAUCGGUUGCCUUUUCCAGCUCCUUGGAAGUAAAUAUUUUUGUUUUCUGAAUGCUUCCAUCACUUGAGGAUAAUUGUUGCUGCAGCAAUAAACCACCAUUUCGUUUGAAGAACUUCUUCUUCAGUUCAAUGUUCUUCUUUUUUUUUACAAGCUUGUAUAACCGCCAAAUACCAACAAGCAGCAGCAACAAUCAGUGAAAAAUUGUAGAGGAUAGGUAUAUUAAAAGGUUUCUCUGUUUCUUAAGAAAACAAUGUGAAUAUACAGCAAUGCAUCCUGCAGGGGCUGCUGGUUAUUAUAUAGCAAUAAAAGUUGCUAAAUUGGAUACAUUAAAUAGCCUAAUUCUCAGCUGAUUUACUUCCAUAAUCAGCCAACGUCUCUUUCUGUUUCUAUCUUGUCCUCCAACGUAACCUUCCUUGUUGCUGCAGUUGAUUUGUUUAUAUAAUCAACCAAUGUCUCAACGUCUGUUUCUGUUUCUGUUUCUGUUUUGUUAGCAUUAAUAUCCUCCCUCAAACUAGGUCGGGGUCGGAGGCAUAGUUUGUUCUUGAAGUAAGCCAGUGCAGUUUUUGACAUAGGUUUUGUGAAGAUGUUAGCUAUUUGGUCAUGAGUGGAGAUGUGUUGAGUAAUGAGAAGUCUAAGGGCAACACGUUCACGUACGAAAUGGUAAUCCAGCUCAAUGUGUUUGCUACGAGCAUGAAACACAGGGUUGACAGUCAUGUGCAACGCACUAAGAUUAUCACAGUAGAGGAUAGGCGGAGAAGUAUGUGAGACGUGAAGAUCUUGUAGGAUGAAGGUGAGCCAUGUAAGCUCUGCUGUUGUGUAUGUCAUAGCUCUGUAUUCAACUUUAGUGCUGGAACGAGAGAUAGUGGGUUGUUUCUUGGCACACCAUGAAAUGAGAUUGCUGCCAAGGAAUGUGUAGUAUCCGGUUGUGGAGUGUCGUGUUGUAGAGCAACCUGCCCAAUCUGCAUCGGAGAAGGCACAAAGAUCAAGUGUAGAGUGGGAAGUAAAGUUUAAACCAGUAUCAAUUGUGCCUUUGAUAUAUCUUAAGAUACGAUGAACCAUUUUGAAGUGUAUAACAGUUGGAGCAUGCAUGCAUUGGGAGACAAAAUUAACACUAUAUGAAAUUUCAGGUCUGGUGAGUGUUAGAUAUUGUAAGGCACCAACAAGCCCAUGAAAAACCUGUGGAUCUUGUAGUAAUAUAUCAGUUGCUGCAGUCUUAGUCUUGGCUUCUAGUGGUUUGCUCGUUGGUUUACAAUCCACCAUACCAGCUCGUUCAAGGAUCGUCAAUGCAUAAUGUGAUUGAGAGAGGUGAAGUCCUUCAGGUGUAUAAGUGAUUUCAAUACCUAGAAAGUGAUGAAUUAAGCCUAGAUCUUUCAUUGCAAAUUCUGAACUUAGCAAUUGAAUAAGGUUUUUCACCAAAGGAGUAGAGGAUCCUGUGAGGAGUAUAUCAUCAACAUAAAGAAGAAGAAUUAAUGUAUUAGAGUUAGAGUGAAAAAUAAAAAGAGAUGGAUCGGCAAGACUGCAAAAGAAACCAUAUUGAAGAAGAAAUAUACUAAACCGGUCAAACUAAGCACGAGGUGCUUGUUUGAGACCAUAAAGAGUCUUUCUUAGCUUGCACACAUGAGAUGGGUAUCGUGAAUAAGCUAUUCCUGGUGGUUGUUCCAUGUAUAUAUCUUCUGAUACAAAACCAUGUAGGAUAACAUUUUUAACAUCAAGUUGUCGUAUGGACCAUUUUAUGAACUAGUGCUAUGGAGAUAACCAUGCAAAUAGUUCCUGGUUUAAUAACUGGAGAAUAGGUCUCAGUAUAGUCCAAUCCAUCAAUUUGGUGAUACCCUUUUUCUACUAAUCGAGCUUUUAAGCGAUCUAGUGAACCAUCGGGUUUGAGUUUUGUUUUGAGUACCCAUUUAGAGCCAAUAACAUGUGUCGCACCCCAAAAAAAAAUGAAAAUUUGUUUUUGCGACAUUCGACUGGCGACUUUCGUUUUGUUUUUUUUUUUUUGCUGAUUUAGUUCUUUGGAGUCGCCACCUAGUAUUUUGGUCACUAGGAACCCUAACUGGUCUUUCAGAGAUUCUAAGGCAAGGGACUGGUUGCGUAAAGGGAAGGUAUUAACACCCCUAGUACGCCCUACCUAAGGUAAGCUGCUUGGUGUUUUGGUUUGCUCUAUAAUUGCUAUGGUGUUGGUAUUUUCUAGGCUCGUCAAUUGAUUUUGGAUAGAAAUCUAAGGAGAUUCCAUGUGCUUUGAAAGCUCAUUUUUCCCUUAGUAUUUCAAGAGUUUGCGACUCAUAAAUCGUGGAAAAAAAAAAUUAAAAUUUUGAAAUGUCCUCAAUUAUAAUCAAGGCUUCUUUCAAGAAUGUGUGCGGAUUUAUUACUCCCAAUAAUAUUUUGGAUAUUCAUCCUUUUAAGGAUUUCUUUAUCCAAACAUUAGCGGUGAAUAAUAAAUAAAUUUCCUCCCAAAAAUAAGAUUUUUAUAGUUUUUGGAAUAUUGGCCAAUACCCUUUGGAGUUUUACAAACAUGUUGUAAAAUCCAGAAAUGCAAGAAAAUAAUUUGUGUUUAAGAAAUCUAUGCGAAAACACACUUUCGAAGAUUCCAAUAUAUUUUUUUUAUAAAAAGAACAUUCAAAACAUGUUAGAGUAUUGGCCGUAUGCAACACGCAAGAAAACAUUUUGUUUUUUUGUAAACAAUAUAUUUUUUGUUUUGACGAAAUCGGGUAUUUUAAUACUGAAUUUGUAUUUCCACAGCAUAAAAAUACAAACUAAUAUUAAGUCAUUUUAAAAAGAUGUACGAAAAAAAUCAACAAUAUUUUUAAGGAAAUUUAGAAAUUUUUUGAAAGCAAAAAAAAAAUUUAUCUUUGAAAAUUUUGGGUGUCUCGACGAAAAUCGGAUAUUUUAAAUACUGAAUUUAUACCUCCACAGUAUAAAAAAAAAAUACAAACCCCCCUAAAGAAAAAUAUGUAUAUAUGAAAAGAAAACAACAACAUUUUUUUAGAUUUUACAGAUUUUGUUUUUUUUUAAAUAUAUAUAUAUAUAUACACACAUAAUAUAAUAUAAUAAUAUAAUAUAAUUAUAAUAUAUUAAGGGGGUUGGGCCGGCCCAACUAACUGGGCCGAACUCAGCCCCAAAAAUCGUUGGGCCGGAAUUGGCCAAAAGGGAUGGGGCCGACCCCGGCCCAGACCACCGGGUUGGGCCAGAAUCCCUCUGGCCCAACCACAUGUUUCUGGGCCAGAAUCCGUCUAGCCCAGAGAAGAAAAAAAACACAGCACGGGGGGGAAUUAUUUCCCCCCCCCGCCUCCUGCAUGCAGAACGAUUCUGCAUGCAGGAGGCAAAAAAAACACUUACAACUUUUGAAAAGAAAAAUGUGCAGGGGGGAGCGUACCUGGUGCGGCGGAGACGGUGGCUUGUUGGCGAGGCUGCGGUGGAGGCGGUGGCAGAGUCCUAGCUCACGGACGGCGACUCCUCACGACGAUUUGCCAAACAGUCCGGUGGCGUCCUCUCAGGUCGUUUGCUUGGUUUUCGUUUCUAAGUUUCUUCCCAGUUUCAAAUUUUCACUCUUCUCUCGUUUUUUUAGUUUUCGUUGGCUCUCUCUCCUCUGGUGGGUGUUUCUCUCUCUUCCUCUCUCUCUUCGAUUUUUCUUAGUUUUCUUCGGGUUCCUCUUCUGUUCUUUUUUUUCGUGCUCAUCGGUGUGCUGGGUUAGGCGUUAUUUAUAGAACCAGUGGACGUGGCUUCAACGUGGAGCCCAGGAGCGGGUCGGGGAGCGGCUGUCCAGGCGGGCCUCCCUCGGCUUCGGCAACGCGGUGGGUGGUCAGCCAUUGUCUUCUGUAGGUGGCCCACCGGCGUGGGGCCUCGGUCGGUGGCAAGAGGGACCUGCAAAAAAAAUAAAAAUACAAACUUUUCCUUCUUCCCCGCUGUAAUGUUCGGGGGAAGAAGAAAGUGAACAGUGCCGUUCAAAACGGCACUGUUCGGUUUUUUUUUUUUUUUAUGCAUGAAACGGCGUCGUUUUGGAUAAAACGCGCCGUUUCAUUUUAAAAAAAAGGCGCCAUAACAUUUUUUGAAUCAGUCCUUAAUUUGUCAUUUGUUCUAUUAAGUCCUUCAAUCGAGUCCUUCAAUCAAGAAUAAAAUUCAAUUGCGUCCCUGCCAAAUUCGGUCCCUACCCCUAUAGUUGGCCGCGUUUUUCACUUUGGUCCUUGGGCUCUGAUUUUCACAAUUAAGCCCCUAAUUGAUCGAUAAACUUCCAAUUUCUUCAAUUAAGCCCCUGAAACAAUUCCAAACAGCCCCCUCUAUCUUUGCGCCUUCUCCAAAUUGGUCCCUGGUUUCAGAUUUUCACAAUUAAGUCCCUAAUUGGCCAUUAAACUUCAAUAUUUAUGCAAUUAAGCCCCUGAUUUGACCUAAUAAAUUCCUAAAAAAUAUAUUUUGGCCCCAGAACUUAAAUUUCUUCUAAUUAAAGCCCAAAUUGACUUAAAAAUCAAUUUUUCUUGCAAUCAAAUCUUCUAUAAAUUCAAAUAAAAAUCCAAUUAAGUCCAUAAACAUCCAAAUUUGGGCUUUUCUCCUCAAAAUUCAAAUUUUCCUUCUCAAUAGGGCUUUCAUCCUUUAAGAAUAUACUGUCAAAAAUUCAAUCCUUGUAUUUUUAAAUUCCUUUACCAAUUUUCUGACUGUUUUCUGAGCGCUUCUGCCUCCUGUUAUUUUUUCUAAGCUCUUUUGGCUAUUUAUUUUAUUUUUCAUGGGGACCCAAAAAUGGGUUACAACAACAUGCAUGGCUUUUGUGCGAGGGACAAGCUCCCAAGUAUGAUUUCUAUGAAGAGCUUCCAAUUCCUCUUCCAUUGCAGCUUUCCAACCAGGGUGAGCUAAAGCAGACCGAAAGUUAGAAGGCUCACGUGGGAUGGUUGUUGAGGACUUAAAGGAUGUUAACUUAUAUUUUGGAUUAGGCUUAAGGAUCCCUUUCAGUGAUCUUGUUACCAUUGUAUGUGAGAGAGGAGGCUCACAUGGAGAAUGCACAAGUUGCGUGUCUGAUUCCAAUAAAGCAGGAUUGGAUGGUGAGAGAGAUAGAUGUUGCAAUUGUGUGUCAUCUUCAUUGUCAGAUUCUACCAGUUGUUUUUCAAUUAUGUUACCAUUAUUAACAUGUUGCUCUGUAGUUGCAAUAGUAAAAACAGAAUGGUUGUUAGAUGUGUUGUCAGUGAUACGAGGCAUUGAUGUAGACUCUGAUUGGGAGGGGGGAAAGUGGAGUUCUACCAUUCCAUUGUCAUUGUUAUGUUCAACCAGCUGUGUUCCAGUCACAUUAUCAUCACUAACAUGUUCUGUAAUUGUAGUAGUAAUAGCAUAAUCAUCAUGUAAAGGAAAAGAAGAUGAUAGGGUAUGUUGUAAUGAGCUUAAGCAUGGUGGAGGAGACAUUACAGGUUGUAUGUCUACAGCAGACUUAGAGAUAAUAGGUGGUAACCAUGAAUCAAAGAUGCUCAUAGCAUGUGUAGGGGACGAGGUUAUGUAAUUCUGAAGUUUUUGCUUAUAAUGAAAAGAUGACUCAUCGAAGACUACAUGACGAGAAAUAAGCAUUUUUUUACUAGGAGGAUGAAAGCAUUUUUAUCCUUUAUGUUUGUCACUAUAUCUUACAAAAAUGCAUAGAGCUGUUUUAGGGUCAAAUUUGUUUUGUUUUGUAUCCCAAGUGUAGGGAAAACAUUUGGACCCAAAGACUCUAAGGGAUGAGUAUGUAGGAUGAUUGCCAUGCAACAUGAAAUAUGGAGAUUCAAAGUUAAGUGCUGAUGAGGGCAAUCUAUUCAUACGAUAAACAGCAAUAAUGAAAGCUUCAACCCAUAGAAAUAAAAGAGCAUUACUAUGAAAAAGCAUAGUCAUACCUAGUUCCUGUAUUACUCGAUGUCUGUGUUCUACUAUACCUAUUUAUUCUGGUGUAUAAGGACAUGAUAUUUGGUGAAUCACUCCUGUUGAGAGAAAGUGUGAUGAUAGUUUGGAAUUUAUAAAUUCUCCUCCUCCAUCAGAGUGAAAGACCUUGAUAUGUUUGUUAAAUUGCCUAGUAACAUAAUGUUCAAAAGCAAGAUAAGCAUAUGCAAAAUCAGACUUAUGUAGUAAAGGGAUUAUCCAAGUAUAUUUAGAAAAAUCAUCGACUAAACAAGCAUAAUAUCUGAAUUUUCCUAUUGAUAAAACAGGAGCAAGUACCCAUAAAUCACAAUGAAUUUUUUCAAAAAUACCAGAACUUGAGUGUUCAGAAUGAAAAAAAGGUAAUCGACUAAGUUUUCCAAAUUGACAGCUAUCACAAACAUGUUCAUGCUUUAUAGUUCCUUUAACAUCUAUCAAGCUUUUAUUGUGCAAUAAUUGUAAAGUAGAGAGGUGCGGAUUUUCUAAACGAUAAUGCCAGAUAUCUACUAGUCCUGAUCUGAAUCGAUUAGAGAAAUAGAGCUCAGGCAUGGUGGAAAGAGUAUAGAGAUCACCCUUGCGACAUCCUGUGAUCACGGGUUGUCUUGUCUGUUGUUCCUUAAUAUAGAAAUCAACGUCCACUACCAGAAAUUCGCUUAAUAGCAACGGAUUUACCGACAUAAUAUUUUUAUCUGUAAUUUGAGGUUGAAAUUACCGACGGAAUUUAUCCGUCCAUAAUUCAGUCGGUAACUACCGACAAAUAGUGUCUGUCGGUAGUUACCGACCGAAUUACGGACGGAUAGUUCAGAAUUAAAAAAAAAAGCGGGUCGCUGACAUGGAGGUUUUUUCCGACGGAUUCAAAACGACAGACCUGUACAGUGAUGCGACCGGUUCACCGUUGAAAAUACCGAUGGAAUGACCGAGGGAUGUGGAAAGGCAGAUCUGUACGGUGACAUGUCUAUUUUUGCCAAUAGAAAAGCGACGGACACACUGACGAAAAUAUCCGUCGGUGAAACCAUCGGAAAAAGUUUAGUUUAGGAACGUCUGAUGAAGGGAUCGGAAAUACAACAAGAAAAUCUUAAAAUUGUCUAAAACUCAUGCAAAUCAAAUGAACAUAAAUCUUAAUCACCAUGUUUCGUGAGAAAUCAAUGGCUAGCCAUCCAAAGAUGGAGCCGUGCCGUUUCUAAAAUCGCCAAUUGUUACUGAAGUAGGAGGCCCAACAAUUUCCCAUACGUUGGGAACUCCAUCCCUGAUGUGUUCAAGUUCUUUACUGCUUUGUUGUGCAUGAAGAGCUCCUUUUGACAGCCGAAUCUGCUCCAACUCCAUCGCGACUUCUCUCAUUGAUGGUCGUUUCCUUCCAUUCAAGUUCAAGCAUCUUCUUGCAAGAUUAGCGACUGCGAUAACUUCUUCUUCACGCUGCCCCAUAAGUCGUCGUCAAGAAUAUCAAAUAUCUUGUUCUCUUCCAUCAAAAGAAUAAAAUGAGUGGCUAAACUUCUCCUGUCUUCCGGCCUUUCAUAAGAAAUUGGUUUUUGCCCACUCAAGAGCUCUGCAAGAACAACACCAAAACUGUAGACGUCACUUUUUGCGGUAAACUGGCUAGACUGGAAGUACUCUGGGUCCAAGUAUCCAAAAGUGCCUUGAACAUGAGUGGUUAGAUGAGUUUGAUCAAUGGCGAUCGAUCUUGAAGUUCCAAAAUCUGAUACUUUUGCUCUGAACUUCUCAUCUAACAUUAUAUUUGUAGACUUGAUAUCACGGUGAUAAAUCGGAAUGGAGGCUGCGGAAUGAAGAUAAGAAAGUGCCCUAGCAACUUCUGUAGCAAUCCUUAGUCGCAUUUCCCAUGAAAACUCGAACUCCUCCUUCUGGUCAUGAAUAUACUCAAAGAGAUUUCCAUUGGGAAUGAAUUCAUAGACUAGCAGAGGAACCUCCGUCUCUAAACAACAACCUAGCAACUUGACCACAUUUCUAUGAUUGACUUGUGAAAGGAUGACGACCUCAUUGAUAAAUUCUUCCAACUUUUCUUCAUCCACCAUUUUAGAUUUUUUGACAGCAACGAUCAUUCCAUCUGCUAGCAUUCCUUUAUAAACAGUUCCUUGGCCACCUUGACCAAGUAUUCUAUUAUCAUUAAAACGAUCGGUUGCCUUUUCCAGCUCCUUGGAAGUAAAUAUUUUUGUUUUCUGAAUGCUUCCAUCACUUGAUGAUAAUUGUUGCUGCAGCAAUAAACCACCAUUUCGUUUGAAGAACUUCUUCUUCAGUUCAAUGUUCUUCUUUUUCUUUACAAGUUUAUAUAACCGCCAAAUACCAACAAGCAGCAGCAACAAUCCAGUGGCCGCACCUAGAACUGCCAUUGCUCGCAAGGGAAAAAAAAUAAAAAUUGUUAGAUACAUACACACGUAUUAUUAUUGAACAACAAUCCAUGUCAAUAAGGUGGUUAAAUCGUUUUUAGGUUGAGGUAACCUUCUGCCGUAUAUUUUUUUAAAAUUCUUAUAUUCUUAUAUGUUAUUGUAUAUUCAUUUUUUUCCUUAUAUAUCCUCUCACUAUUUUGAACAAAAAAGCCAACAACAACCUCCAAAAUAAAAUUUAAUUUUAAAAAGCCUAAAACAAUAUUUACAAAACAUAUAAAACAUUAAAAAAAAUUGAAAAGUGAACAAAAAAAAAACUUACUUGAAUAAUAUAAAAAAUAAAAAAAAUUCAUGUCAACAAAGCCUCAACUAGAAAUUAUAUCUAGGGCAACAAAAUAAGUUUCACAGGAUAUGGAUUUUUCAAAAUUUUUAUUAGUUACCAUUAAAAAAAUAAAUAUAUCUAUGUUAUAUUUAAAAUGUUUUGGUAGUCUCCAGGUUUUUUCAUUUUAGGUUUUUUAUUUAAAAAAAAUAUGUUAUUAUUUUUUUUAUCUAUUUUAUUUGUUUUAAUUUCAUGUAUUGUUAAGUUUUAAAAAAUUAUAUUUUUUUUACAUUUGAUAUAUUUUAAGACUUAAUUUUUAUGUUGGUGGUCUUAGGGGUAUUUUCAUCCAAACAGUAACAAAAGAGUAUAUAAGAGAAAAUAUCUAUAUAUCCGUGCAUACGAAAAAUUUCUUAAAAUGAAUUUUUUAAAAAAAUAACAUGUGGAAGAAUAAAUCCAAUGCAUAAAGAUAAAUAAAUCAAUUGACCUAAUUUUUUUAAUUAACUUUAAUGCAUAAAGAUAAAUAAAUCAAUUGACCUAAUUUUUUUAAUUAACUUACCACUUUUCUUUUUAUUCCCACAAAUAAAAUCGAUAUAUUUUUUCUUCUUGAAGUGCAAAUGGAGAACUUUCCAAGUCAAACAUACCGAAUCGAUUAGUAUAAAAAACACUGUUCAACAAUAGCAAUGUCAAACACCUCAAACACGUACGCAAAAAAGAAAAAAACCAUACAAAAAAUUUAAAAUUUUCUCAUAUAAGUGGAAAAGCGUAAUUAUAGAUAAUUGUACAUUAAGUUUCCAGUUCUUGUCUAUAUUUAAUUAAUUAAAAAGAGAGUGAAAUUAAAAAGAACAGAAUUAUAUCGUAUGCUAUUGUUUACAGGAGAACCAAGGGUAAUUAGAGAAGGGUAAAGAUGUAAAUUAAUAAUUAAGAAAGUACUAUAUCAUCGUUGCCUCAUUCUAUCCAUUUUGGGGAGAUUAAAAAGGCAGUCAUGGACGAGAAUUAAUUUUCUCGUAGCUUCCAUUCCAUUCUCUCAGACAAGGGAAAAUAUAUAAUUUCUACUGUCUCCCAAACACAAUUUAUCCUCUAAACCAAUGUUUCAGGUUCCUAUAAAUUACGAAGGAAAAAAGAAUUAAGAGACAGGAACUCACUCAAGAAAGUGAUCUUAGCUUUGUCAAGCUCGCACUUGUACCCCCCCGGCACAUUCACACAUUUUGUCAUCCUCGAACACGAAUUUACCCCGGGGAUUUUGCACUGAUCGAUAUCUGAUUCAGGAAAUCCAAUGAGUGAGUAUAUAUAUUCAUGUGAUUGGAGCCAUUCAAAAGUAGAAUGAUAUUGCAUGGUGAAUUUAUGCUUCAACUCUAUUCUAAAGCUUCAGUACUCCAUUAUUUUUUCUUACAAAAAGAAGAAGAUUAAAUCCCAUUAAGCGUGUUCGAAUCAUACCAGUGCAUCCAUCAGGAAGAUACGGAUUGCCAUCAUAGCCCGGGUAGCACCUACAAGUAGUUGAAUUGGAAUAUAUUACUGUGCUCGUUGCCGAACCCCACACUGUCAAACCCCUUCUGCAAUACCUUUCACGAGGUCUUACUGUCGAAUUCCAUCUUAAACCUUCAGGGAUGUCAGUACCAUAAUACAUAUCCCAAUCCAGGAUUACUGGAACAUAUUGCAUAUCUUUCACCACCUCGGGACUUGAUAUAUUGUUCCGGAACCAUUCUUCCUCUACUAUAAAAGCUAACUUGCAUUGAUUUCUGCCUUGAUCAUUAAUAGGGUGCUCUGGGGUCUCCAAACUCGCGUUGAACACCUGGAGACUCGAGGGAAUUGUGAUCUGGCAGCAAUUGUUACCAGAACAGUAACUAUUUUCUUUACCUUCUGCACUAGAACUAGUCAAAUUAUUAGCACCGCAAGUUAACGUGCACCCAACAAUUGCUGGCUCAAUUCCGUUCAAUAAAGCACGAUUGUCGCAGCCCAUUGCGAUGAAGGUAUUUGAGGAAGAGAAGGCGAAAGGACUUCCAGUCAUAUUAAUGGCUAAGUUGGCACCGCUACCAGCACAGCCGGAGGAAAUUAUUGGACUGUUUACUCGAACCAGAGGAAAAGUACUGUACCCUAUUGAAAUCUCCAAGACCUCCAUGUUGAUGCUGCUUAAGAAAGCCCUGCUGGGAGAAUCCGCAGUUGUUUUGUUGCAAUCAACUGAGAACCAGUCAUUCGUGUAACAACCUGCUCCUAUUCCAAAUGGAAAAGGGAUGCUAAUGUUUCCACAAGUCUCUGUACAAUUAGGCUUCGCCAUAAUUAGUGCUGAUACAGUUGCUAUUUCAGGGACUAGAAAUAGCAGGAAAAAAAUUAGAGAGACACUACGAGGAAUCAUGCCUUCCCUUCUAUUGCAGAUUUAGAUACUGCUGGAGAUCAAUAAUGGAAGGGGAGAGAGAGAGAGAGGGGAAAGAUCUUUCUUUGCUCCCUAUAUUUGUGAGAAAAAAAUACUAAUUGAGACAGAGAAGACUACCUUAAAAGAGUAAACGAACUGCCCAAAUCAUUUGAAGCAAAUUGAAUGAAAAGUUCUCUCUCAAUCUAUUUAUAUAUAUAAUAUGGUGGCCUUCCAUAUUUUUAAUUCGAGUAUUCGUAGGAUUUAGAGCUAGGAUGUUUCUUCCCAACUUCCAAGCUUUGAUUAAUAAUGUAUAAAUUCCACACGACUAUAAAAAGGCUCUCAAAUUGAUGAGUGAUGGUGACUUUCGUCUAACCAAUUCAAAGAGGAUUAGUCUAAAAGUAAAGAGAAGAAACAGUAGGCUUUGAACCACUUAAAUGUGUUGGAACUCAGAAUAGAGAAAUUAAAGAUAGAAAGGGAGCGUGUAGACGACGAUGCUAUGAAUAAAACAUUUCACUAACAUCAACAGAGUUACAAUUUUUUAUUUCCAAUUCUUUCAAUUUUAUUUUUUUUGUACCGUUAAUUUUUUUUCUUGUUUGGCUGCUACAGAAAGAAGAGAAGAAAGAUGGUAAAUCCAUUGUUUAGAAGUCGAAAAAAAAUAAAUUUCAGAAUCAUAGGAAUUUAAUACUUCAAGAAGGAGGUUAUCCUUUUGAAAUCGAAUUCCUAUUCCAAAUGGAAAAGGGAUGCUAAUAUUUCCACAACUUUCUGUAGGAUUUGAAGUUGGGAUGUUUCUUCCCAACUUCCAAGCUUUGAUUAAUAUUGUAUAAAUUCCACAAGACUAUUAAUUAAGACUCUCAAAUUGAGUUAUGGUGACUUUCGUCUAACCAAUUCAAAGACGAGUAGUAUAAAACUAAAGAGAAUAGCGUGUAGACGACGAUGCUAUGAAUAAAACAGGGGAAGAAAAGUCGUUUCUCUAGAGUGCAUGCCAAGAUCUUAUUAUAAUGUGGAAUAUCUAGAAAUAGUAGAUAAGUACUCAGAAUGAACUUAUCUUUAGAAAUCUAUUUAAAGUGAAUGAAAGCUUUAAUUUUGUAUGGGCUAAAACAUCUCUCUUCAGUUUCCACAUGAGAAAUUACGAAGGAAAAGUAUACAUUUGGGAGGGAAUUAACCAGGCAGAUGCAGCCAACGACUUUGCAUACAUGCCAACUGAGAUAGCAGAUCUUCUAGUCUUCUACAUGUUUUUUUUUUUUUUUAAUUUUUUUUUUCUUGCUUUGAAAAAUAAAAACCGAAAAGAAAGAUCUAGGAAAGUAGUUUUCGUAACAGCCAACGACUUUGCAUGCAUGCCAUCGUUUCACAUUCAACCCACAUAAUCCCAUAUCUAGAAAUUCAAUUCAUCAAGAAUGUAGACGACGAUGCUAUGAAUAAAACAGGGGAAGAAAAGUCGUUUCUCUUGAGUGCCAAGAUCUUAUUAUAAUGUGGAAUAUCCAGUAGAUAAGUACUCAGAAUGAACAUAUGUUUAGAAAUUAAUCAGCAAUCAACUAGCAAACCUAAUUCAAAAAGAGAUUGGAAGAUUGUGUUUAGUUAAUGUUAUAGGAUGUAAUGAACAUAUACAAAAGGGAUAGACAAAUCACCAAAUGAAAGUUCUCCUUAUUAAUGCAAGUGUUUUGUUUUAAAAAAUUCUAACAAGAAUAGUGUCCGACUUGCAGUGACGAAGUACAUUUACUUAAUAAUUUAACUAUUUUAUUAUCAUAGAAUUUUAAAUAAUCUAAGAGGAAGCUACAAUUUUUUUCUUCUGUUUUACUUUUCAACAAAAAUAAUAAUCCAUUAUAACUCUUAAAUUAAAUCAAUUUUUUUAUAGAAAUUCCAUAUUUAGAGAUUAGCACCCGUGAACAGUAGCAUGAGCACCGAUGAUACCAGCAGCAACAAUAACAAGAUCAGUAAUUGCUCCUUAUUUGGAUAAUGGAUAUCCGAAACUCAAUUAGGUAUUCAAGAUUUAUAUCUGAAACUUUUUUCUUUUCUUUUCUAAUGGAAAAUAAAUAAAUUUAUUUGUUUAUUUGUUGAGAAUAAAAAAUAUUUUUUUUAAAAAAAAAAAAUACAUUAAGAUUACAAAUAUUUUUUAUAAGAAAUGUUGUUACCCAAUUUUUGACCCACCUUUUUGAUAAAAAUUUCUAAAAAUUAAACAAAUAUGAUUUUUUAAAUAUAUUUGCAUUGUUUUUAGCAUUUUCAGCAUCGUUUUAAAAGAGUUUAAAUUUUAAAUGGUCUUUUGAACGCAUUUGACUUUUCACGUGUUAUUUUUAAAAUAAUUGAUUUUUCUUAUUGAGUCGAUGUUGAUAUUACUCGUUUUCAAAAAAUACAAAAAAAAUAAGACAAAUCAAAUUUACAAAAAAUAAAGAAGUUGAGGAACUAAGUUUGGGGACCAAACAAUAUUUUGCCUAUAAAUAAUAUUUUCCCUAUCACACGUGAAAAUCUAGUGUUUCCAUUUUAAUAAUAAUAAAAAAUCUAUUUCUAUGUGGUAGAUAUUGGGAAGACAAGAAAAUUCUUGUUUUUUAUUGGUAGAAAAUGGAAUGGGAGUCGCCACCUAGUAUUUUGGUCACUAGGAACCCUAACUCGUCUCAAAGAUCAGGUACGGGGAUUGAUUGCGUAAAUGGAAGGUAUUAGUACCCCAAAUACGCCCUACCUAAGGUAAGCUGCAUUGUUUUAUUGUCUGAUAAAAACUAAGGUGUUAUUGGACUUCUAGUUGUUGGUCUGUCUAUGGUUCAAGAAAAAUCCUCCUCGAUAAGAAGGUCUUUAUCUUAUCGGGUAAAAUCCUAACCGUUCUAACGUCUAUACCAAAACUUUAUUAAUAAUAUUUAGGAAUACGUUUUACGUAUAAAUUCGUAAUCCCAAAUACUAAAAGAAAACAAAAAGAUUUUUUAGAAUUUUUGAAAUAUUGGCCUAGUUCUCAUGGCUUGAAUAAACUGGUUAUUAAAGCCAAAAUGCAUGCUAAUACAUAUAUUGUUUUGAAAAUUUCCUUUGUUGUAUGAAAAUAUGAUGUUAUAACAUUUAUAUCUAUAUAUUGGAGAGACUAGGCUGUAUUUUAAAACUAUAACAAUUUUUUUUAAAAAAAAUAUUAUUUUUUAUGCUUUGACGAAAAUCGGGUAUUUUAAUACUGGGUUUGUAUCCUUACGGUAUAAAAAUACAACCCAAUAUUAAUCCACUUUAAUAAAAAUAUGCAGAAAAAAUCAACAAUAUUUUUAGGGACUUUUUAUAAUUUUUUUGAAAGCAAAAAUAUUUUUUAUUCUGAAAAUCUUUGGUGUUUUGACGAAAACCGGGUAUUUUUAACAUUGGUUUUGUAUCUUUACGAUAUAAAAAUACAAACCAACAUUAAGCCAUUUUGACAAAAAUAUGCAGGAAAAUCAACAAUAUUUUUUCAAAUAUUUUUCAAAAUAUUUUUUUUAUUUUUUUUAUAUAAUAUAUACACACACAUAUAUAUUAUAAUAUAUAUUAUAUUAUAUUAUGGGAGUGGGCCGGCCCAGAUAAAUGGGCCAGGCUCAGCCCAGAAAAAGGGUCGGGCCGACCUCGGCCCAAAAUGAAAUUGGGCCGAUCUCAGCCCCAAAAACUUCUACAGUCUGGGCCAGGACCGGCCCAGACUUGCAAGGCUGGGCAGCAUCGGGCUGGCCCAGCAACCUACGGCCCAGCGGGGGGGAAGAAUUAUUUUUCUUCCCCCGCCUCCUGCAUGCAGAACGACUCUACAUGCAGGAGGUAACGCCUGUAAUGAAAGCGAAAACAAGGGGGAAGAAAAUGUACCUGGCGUGGAGGAGGCGGUCGCUGGUGGUGCUGCGGUGGCGUGGCUCGCGGACGGCGGCUCCGGGCGGUGUUGCUGUUGUUCCUAACGGCGGCGAGAAAUUUCUUCCUCCUCCCCUUUCCCUUGUUUUUCUUUAUUCUCAGUGGUCCUCUCCUCCUCGGUUUUUUUUCUCUGUUUUCGGUUUCGGUUUCUUUGUUUUCGGUUUGUUCCUGCUCUCCCCUCUCUUUCGUUCGUUAUUUCUCUUCUCCCUCUCUCCUCGGGUCCUUCUCUCUUCGGUUUAACUCUCUAUUUAUAGGGGAAGAAUCAGUGCGCCUUUUGCUAGUGCGCCUUGGGAGCAAAUCACGCAACGGUUGGUCGGCCAGUAACUCGUUCGGUGGUCUAAAGGUGGUGGGGGCGAGGAGAGAGAGGCGGGAAGGUUUGAAAAAACGGUUUUCUUCUCUCUGCUGCUCAUUCGGGGGGAAGAAGAAAGAUGAACAGUGUCGUUCAAAACGACACCGUUCUGGUCUUCUCUUCUUUUUUUUUUUUUAUAUAUAUAUAUAUAUAUGAAACGGCGUCGUUUUGGAUAGAAAACGCGUCGUUUCAUUUAAAUGAGCAAAUUCAAAUCAGCCCUCCAUCAUUUCAAUUGUAUCCCUGCCAAAUUCGGUCCCCGCCCCUCUUGUUGGCCGCGUUUUUCACUUUAAUCCUUGGCCUCUGAUUUAUGCAAUUGAGCCCUCAAUUGAUUAAUAAACUUUCAAUUUCUUCAAUUAGGCCCCUGAACCAAAUAAUUGCAGCCCCUCCAUUUACGCGCCUCUUCCAAUUUGGUCCCUGGUUUUGGAUUUUCUUAAUUAAGUCCCUAAUUGGCCAUUAAACUUCAAUAUUUAUGCAAUUAAGCCCUGAUUUGACCUAAAAAUUCCUAAAAAAUAUAUUUUGGCCCCAGAACUUAAAUUUCUUCUAAUUAAAGCCCAAAUUGACUUAAAAAUCAAUUUUUCUUGCAAUCAAAUCCCUAUAAAUUCAAUAAAAAUCCAAUUAAGUCCAUAAACAUCCAAAUUUGGGCUUUUCUCCUCAAAAUUCAAAUUUCCUUCUCAACAGGGCUCUCAUCCUUUAAGAAUAUACUGUCAAAAAUCUAAUCUUUGUAUUUUUUAACCUCCUUGACCAAUUUUCCGACCAUUUUCUGAGCGCUUCUGCCUCCUGUUAUUUUUCUAACGUUCUUUGGCUAUUUAUUUUAUUUUUUGUGGAGACCCAAAAAUGGGUUACAACAGAUGCCCCCUCUUUAUAAUGCUUACGGAGCAAGGGUUUUGUGUAGUAAGUUUUAUAAAGAUAAUCCAAACUGAACUCCCGAAACUGAUCUGGUCGAAGCUUGAUCGAUCUGAAACUCUUUCUUUACAGCAAUCCUCUUCGGCUUGGAAUCCCAUCUGGCAAUUCACUUUUAAUCAAAAUGAAAUACGAGGUCCCAUCUGGCGACCUCCUUUGACCAAUAUCGAAAUACGAGAUCCCUUCUGGCGAUCUCCUCUAACAAAACAUCUUGGAAUCCCAUCUGGCGAUUUCUUUUAACCAAACAUGAAAUAUGAGGUCCCAUCUGGCGACCUCACUUGACAAAUAGCGAAAUAAGAGAUCCCUUUUGGCGAUCUCCUUUAAUCAACUUGGAAUCCCAUCUGACGAUUCCUUUUAACCAUAUGAAAUAUGAGGUCCCAUCUGGCGACCCCCUCUGACCAAUAUCGAAAUACGAGAUCCCUUCUGGCAAUCUCAAACAACUUGGAAUCCCAUCUGGCAAUUCCUUUUAUUCAAAGCUGAAAUAUGAAGUCCCUUCUGGCGACCUCCAUUGAUGAAUAUCGAAAUAUGAGAUCCCUUCUGGCGAUCUCAAACAACUUGGAAUCCCAUCUGGCGAUUCCUCUUAACAAACAUGAGAUAUGAGGUCCCAUCUGGCGACCUCUAAAUAGCGAAAUACGAGAUCCCUUCUGGCGAUCUCCAUCAACUUGGAAUCCUAUCUGGCGAUUCCUUUUAACAAACAUGAAAUAUGAGGUCCCAUAUGGCGACCUCCAAAUAAUGAAAUACGAGAUCGCUUCUGGCGAUCUCCUUUAAUCAACUUUGAAUCCCAUCUGGCGAUUCCUUUUAUUCAAAGCUGAAAUAUGAGGUCCCUUCUGGCGACCUUCACCGACAUACGAGAUCCCUUCUGGCGAUCUCCUUUAACCAAACAACUUGGAAUCCCAUCUGGUGAUUCCUUUUAUUCAAAUUUGAAAUAUGAGGUCCCUUCUAGCGACCUUCAUCGAAAUACAAGAUCCUCUCUGGCGAUCUCCUUUAACCAAACAACUUGGAAUCCUAUCUGGCGAUUCCUUUUAUUCAAAGUUGAAAUAUGAGGUCCCUUCUGGCGACCUCCAUUGAUGAAUAUCAAAAUACGAGAUCCCUUCUGGCGAUCUCAAACAACUUGGAAUCCCAUCUGGUGAUUCCUUUUUACCGAAUGCUAUCGAUGUCGUUCUUCCUGCUGGCAGGUUUUGAAAAUUAUUAUCUUCUCUUCUUGUUGUUCUAGAAUCAACUCAAUGAUUCUUUCUUCAUCCACAAUCUUGUUGGAAUGCACUAAGAUCUCCUCCUGUAACGAUAAAAAACAUACAUGCAAUGAUUUAUGAUUAGAUGCAAUGCAUGCAUUCGUACCUGGUUUCGAAACAUAGGCCCCAUCAUCUUCUUCUAGUUCAUGAAGCUCUUUCUUAACACGAGCUUGCUUUUGAAGUCGUAUGUUGGAUUCCUUAUCAAGUCGCCUUGUUCUCAAAAUGUAUGACUUGUCAUUGCCUCUUUGUCAUGCUUUUGUCAAAUGCUUUAGCUUGGUUUUCAAAUCUAUAGGCUUCCGUAAAACUGUUCAUAAAAAACAUCUUGUAUUGCCCCUAGUGUAGGGGUGUGAUCUUAGUCUGAGCUUUUAUAUAGAGAAGAAAUUCGUUCAGCCGAUGCUAAACUUUUUAAUGAGUGAUGAGAUAACACCAAGACAUGCACUGUUGGGAUUAAUGCAAAAAUGAUUGUUGUGAGAUCAAUGCAAAAAAGGAAAGAAGUCAAUGGCCAAACUUUGCUUUAUUGAUUUAGGGGCCUACAUCAAGCAUAAUAUCUUCUUACAGAGUCAGAAUUCACAGGUCGAGCUAGUCUUCUCCAUCCAUUCUAGCUAACUUCAACGCUCCUCCUGAGAAUGCCUGUUACUACAUAAGGACCCUCGUAAUUUGGUGCCCAUUUGCUUUGAUCAUCUCCGGGUAAUGACAAUAUUUUCUUCAAUACUAGAUCCCCUUCUUGAAACAACCGCGGUCUAACCUUCUUAUCAUACGCCUUAGCCAUUCGUUUCUGGUAAAGCUGGUGAUGACAUAUUGCGGCCAUCCUCUUUUCACUGAUCAGGUUCAGUUGCUCGUGUCUCACUUUGGCCCACUCGGCCUCUUCUAACUCAAAUCUAUUAACACUCUUAACGACGGGAUUUCCACUUCCAAAGGCAUCACUGCCUCCAUACCGUACACAAGAGAAUAUGGGGUAGUCCCUGUCGAGGUUCGAACUGCGGUGCGAUAUGCAUGAAGGGCAAAUGGCAACAUCUCAUGCCAAUCCUUAUAGGUGACUACCAUCUUCUGAAUAAUCUUUUUGACAUUCUUGUUAGCAGCUUCUACCGCCCCAUUCAUUUUUGGUCUAUAUGGCGAAGAAUUGGAAUGCUUGAUUUUCCAUUUAGUGCAGAGCUCUACUAUCAUCUUGCCGUUGAAAUUCUGGGCAUUAUCAGUUAUAAUCUUUUCUGGUGGACCAUACCGACAUAUCAAAUCUCUCUCGAUAAAUUUCUUCACCACUUUUUGCGUCACAUGAGCAAAUGACCCGGCUUCGACCCAUUUUGUGAAGUAGUCAAUAGCCACGAGGAUAAAUCUAUGACCAUUGCUCGCUUUUGGGUUUACAGGUCCAAUCACAUCAAUUCCCCACAUCGCGAAGGGCCAUGGUGAUGUUAAGUUAAACAAUGGAGCUGGUGGCAUAUUGACCUUGUCACUAUAAAUUUGACAUUUGUGACAUUUUCUGACAUAGUUGAUACAGUCUUUUUCUAGUGUCAUCCAAAAAUAACCAGCCCUUUGGAUUUUCCUUGCCAUCAUAUGCCCGCUAGCAUGGGUUGAGCAAAUCCCUUCAUGGACCUCUCUUAAUGCCCUUCUAGCAUCUGCCUCAUCCAAACACCUUAACAGGGUUCCAUCAAAUGACCUUUUAUAUAAAAUCUCUCCAUCUAAAUAGAAGUCUAUGGCCAACCUUCUCAAGGUUUUCUUAUCCGUCUUAGAAGCUCCCACCGGAUAUUCCUGCUUCUGCAACCAGAUUCUUGAUAUCGUAAUACCAAGGUUGUCCGUCCAUCUCUCCUUCAAUUAAACAACAGUGAGCUGGAUCAUUUCUAAUAUCAAUGUGUACCGGUUGUACCUUGCACUUGAGAUCAAUGGUAGUCAUAGCGGCUAGUGUGGCCAAAGCAUCCGCAAAAUGAUUCCCCUCCCUUCCCAGAUGGGUGAAUCUAAUUUCUUCAAAUUCCUUUGCUAGCAUGGAUAGGUAUUCCUGGUAGGCCUCAACUUUUCUCUUUGGUUUGCCAUUCCCCUUUACCUGGCAGAUGAUCAACAUUGAAUCCCCAUAUACAUCUAUCUUCUUUAUUUUCAGCUCCAAUGCUGCUUCUAAACCGAGGAUACAAGCUUCAUACUCAGCUGUAUUGUUGGUGCACUCGAAUGUAGUUUGACCGAAACUGGGUAUUGUUUCUUAUUAGGAGAGAUUAUUACCGCCCCUGCCCCGUUACCAUAUACAUUUACUGCCCCAUCAAAAAACAUGGUCCACCAAUCUGUCUUUCUUCUUCCUUUUCUAUUGACAAUAUAUCUUCAUCAGGGAAAUCAAAAUCCAAAGGUUCGUAAUCUUCAACAGCAUUAUCGGCCAGAUGGUCUGCGAUUGCACUCCCUUUUACGGCUUUCCUUGUCAUUACACUAUGUCAUAUUCUGCUAAUAAAACUUGCCACCUUGCAAUUCUACUUGAGAGAAAAGGCUUAUUACAAAUAUACCUCAGAGGAUCCACUUUUGAAAUCAACCAAGUGGUAUAGUAUAACAUGUAAUGUCGCAACCUCUUUGCCGCCCACACCAACGCACAACAAAGCCUUUCUAUCUCCGUGUAUCUGGACUCACAUUCAGUGAAUUUCUUACUCAAGUAAUAAAUAGCUCUUUCCUUCCUUCCGGUUUCAUCAUGCUGACCCAAUACACAUCCCAUGGCUACUUCAGUUACGGUUAGAUAUAAUACUAGAGGUUUUCCUGAUACAGGAGGAACCAGUAAAGUGGAUUUUGUAAAUAAUGCUUGAUUUUAUUGAAUGCCUCCUCACACUCCUCAUUCCAGGUUCCAGGAUUCUUUUUCCUUAGUAGUCGGAAGAUAGGCUCGCAUGUUGUUGUUAGCUGAGCUAUAAACCGAGCAAUGUAGUUCAACCUUCCCAAGAAUCCUCUUACUUCUUUCUCCGUCUUAGGGGAUGACAUGGCCUGGAUGGCCCUUACUUUAUCUGGAUCCACCUCUAUACCUCUAUCACUUACCACAAAUCCCAACAACUUGCCCAAUUUAACUCCGAAUGAACAUUUUGCAGGAUUAAGCCUUGGUUCAUACUUCCUCAACCUCUCAAAUAACUUCCUCAAAACUUCCACAUGAUCCUGUCCCUUUUUAGACUUGGCAAUCAUAUCAUCUACAUACACCUCAAUUUUUUUUUUUUUUUUUUUUGAUCAAAUGUUAGAAAUAUAUAGAUCAAAAAGUUAGACUAACUGGAAACCAGAAAGCCAAUAAACCAACUGUACAAAACAAACCAGGGGAACAGGCUCCCAUCUGGCACGAAGAAACCCAAAAGAAUAUAAAAACCAACAAACCAACAAAACAAGCCAAGAACCAAGCAAGCCAAACACAAAGCCAAUAAAAUACAGCAGCCAGCAAAGAGAAGUGAAGCAAAUCGUGAGCCAUGCAGCGGUAGGAGGAGAAGCCGAGAGCACGGCGACAGAAGAAGCCAGCAAGGCAACAUCCCAUAAGCUGGACUCCACGAGAAAGCCGAGAGCCAAUGCAGCAGGAGACAAACAAGGCAGCGUGGCAUCACUGCAGAAAACCACGAGAACAACAGCUGCAUGGGACAUGCAACCAACGCAGCGGAGAAACCAAAUAUAGAAAACAGGGGACAUGCAACACAGUAGAUUAGUGGAGAGCCCGGCAUAAAGCAUGCAGGAAAUUAUUGACCCCAAAGAGCCAUGCAAAGCAACUCAGAGAGCAGGAAAUCUCAUAUGCACAACACCGGGCACCUUAGGAUACCAGGCAAUCACCCUACAGCCAGUUGGAAGUGAUCCUUUUCAUGAAAAUGGAACACCGUGUAAAACAGAAUUUGAAAUCUCCUAAACAUGACAUCAACCUCCCUAGAUUUAUCAUCAAAGACCCGAUUAUUUCUUUCUUCCCAGAUAAGAUACACAGAGAUACCCAAGGAGACUCUGCGCAUGCGAGCCACAAGAUUGGACCUCUUAGGGAAUAACCCACGAAGAGCACUAUUGAUGGAUAACAUCCGUCUACCAAUUCGAAGCCAAUCUUUUAUCCUUCCCCACAGCCUGCCCGUCCAGCUACAAGCGAAAAACAGAUGGCCAUGGGUCUCAGCUUCACACCUACAGAAGGCACAAGAGAGGUCAGACGGAAUGAACCACAGCCUGUCCCGAGUUUUGAGUUUACCCAAAGCCGCCAACCAUAAUAUAAAGCUAUAUUUUGGAAGUGACCACUGCUCCCAGACAACCCGAUCCCAUGAGACAAUAGAACCAACCGGCCUAAAGAAAUCAUAUGCAUGAGCAAGAAAAGGACCAGCUGAAGUAGACCAGGCUCGCAUCAAGGAUACACUCUCUUCCUCUGAGCCCCCACAAUGUUGGGAGAUAGCAUCCCGAAUAUUAAUGAUGGCCUUCCAAAGAGGGGAAGAAGAGUGAUGCGCCUGGACCGACCAGAUGGAACCACUGCUCAAAUAGAAAUGAUGAAUCCAGCGAAUCCAAACUGAAUCCUUUUGAGAUGAAGUGCCACAACUGCUUACUGAGAAAGCUAUUGUUACGGGCAAGGAGAUCAAACAAACCCAAACCACCCUCAUUUUUGGGAAGACAAACAUUCUUCCAAGCAACGAUAGCAGAGGAACCAUGACCAGCAUCACCCGUCCAGAGGAAAUUUCUGCAUAUACUAAUUAUUUGCUUGAGCACAGUAACAGGGACAGGGAAUAUGUUCAACCAGAACUGGACCUUCCCAAAUAGAACCGAUCGAAGAAGCUCCAAGCGCCCAGCAUAAGUAAGAUAUCUACCCAUCCAGCCUUGGAUAGACAAUUUCAGGUCCUGCAGGAGAGGAGUGAAUUGGCUUGCUAGCAGGCGAUGCGGGCUAAGAGGGACUCCCAGAUAAGUAAAAGGAAAUUGCCCUUCACAAAAACCAGUGGCUGAGAGAAUAGAAUGCUUUUGCUCUGUGCCCACUCCUCCAAAGAAAAUGGAUGAUUUCUGAGGAUUAAUGUGUAAGCCAGAAAUAUGGCCAAAAAGAUUAAGUUGCUGGAGAAAACAAGAGACUGAAGAGAGGUCCCCGCGAGAAAGAAGAAGGACAUCAUCUGCAAAGGCAAGGUGAGAGAUACCUUGAAUCGCACACUUGGGAUGAAACCUGAACCCAUCCUGCUGAGAAGCUAGAGAGAGCAUCCUUGAAAAAUAUUCCAUGCAGCAUAUGAAAAGAUACGGAGACAAUGGGUCUCCUUGACGCACUCCACACUUACCCGAAAAGAACCCAUGAAUAUCACCAUUCACAGCCACUGAAUAGGACGCAGAUGAUACACACUGCAUGACUAGCAAGACAAAGUGAGCAGGGAAACCAAGGUGACAAAGAAGGCUUUCCAAGAAAUCCCAUUGAACAGAAUCGAAAGCCUUCUUGAAAUCCACUUUCAUCAAGCAACGGGGAGAGGAGCGCUUUCUACAAUACUGGCGGAGAAGUUCCUGGACCAAAUUAAUAUUGUCACUCAUUUGUCUCCCCCCCAAGAACGCAUUCUGCAUGGGAUUGACAAUAUCCUGAAGAGCAAGAGCUAGCCGGCCAGCUAAGAUCUUGGACAAGACUUUGUAAAUUACAUUGCAACAUGAGAUAGGCCGAUAAUCUGAUGGGGAAGAGGCAUUCUCAGAUUUGGGGACCAAGGCAAUUAUGGAGUGGUUAACUUGUUUGAGCAGCCUACCCGAAACAAAGAAAUCCUGAAUGGCAGCACAGAAAUCUCCACCAACAAUGGACCAAGCUUGCUUAAAGAAAAAGGAGGAAUAUCCAUCCGGACCAGGGGCUCUUUCAUUUGCAAUACUAAAGACAGCAUGACGAAUAUCCUCCUGGGAGACCGGGGAUAGAAGAGAGCCCUGGGAGGAAGAGGAGAGACACGGGCCACACUGAAUUGUAUCACUGUCCAGAGGAAUGGUUGACUGCGAAGAACCCAACAGCUGACUAUAGAAUACCACAAAGACAUCCCCUUCCUUAAGAGAGGUAGUGAUCCGACCAUUGCUACAUGUGGUAGCUGGAAUAAAGUUCCUCCUGUGGUUGUGCCCCAUGAGAGCAUGGAAAAACUUGGACCCUCGAUCACUGUCCUGUAGAAAUUUACAUUUUAAUUUCUGGCUGAAAAAUUGGUGCUCCGCAGACUUUAGAGAGGAGAGCUUAGAGCGGAGAGCCUUGUCCUGCUCAAACAAAGACUGGUUAUCUCUAUCGUGAUGGAAAGCAGAUUGAAUCUGAUCCAGCUGGGAUUCAAGGCUGGAGACCCUUUCAGAAAUAUGGCUGAAAUGAAGCCGGUUAAGCUCCUUUAAGGGGCCCUUCAGUAGCUUCAGCUUGCGGCAUAAAAUGUACAUGGGCGUGCCAUACACCUGCAUCAACCAACAAGAAGAAACAACACCCAGAAACUGAUCAUGAGCAGCCCACAUAUUAAAAAUUUGAAGCUGCGCCUUCCCUGUACAUAGGAGUCCAACUUCACUACAGCUGGGGAGUGAUCUGAAAAUGCACCAGGAGUGGCAAAGUGCACAUGAGCAGAACUAUGCAAAGAGGACCAGAAGGGAUUAGUUAGAACCCUAUCAAGCUUACUCCAAACCUUACCAUUUGACCAAGUGUAAUGGCAGCCAGUAUAUGUAGCAUCCCGAAGGCCAAUGUCAAAACAACAAUCACUGAAAUCAGAAACUUCAUAGGCUGAGACGACUUCACCAUUGUGCUUGUCAGAAGAGGAAAGCAAGGAGUUAAAAUCACCUAGAACUAGCCAAGGGUGAUUGGAGUUCCUUCCCCUUAACUCCUCCCAAAGAGGACGCCUGGCAGUGAUAGAGUUAAAACCAUAUACAAAAGUGGCCUUGAAUUUCAACUGGGAUAUUAAGCAAUAGAUGGAAAGAUGAAUGGCUUGCGCUGAGGAUGAUAGCAAAUCAACUUGUACUGUAUCCGGGUUCCAAAAAACAACAAUUCUAGCCGUGGGAGCCAUUGCUGCAUUGGACAAAUACUUCCAAUGCUUCAGCCUAAGUUUGUGCAUGGAAGCAACUCU
rnacentral:lncRNA from 1 species